rnacentral:rRNA from 1 species
GUAGUUAGCCGGGGCUUCCUCCUUGGCUACCGUCAUUUGUUUCGUCACCAAGGACAGAGGUUUACAACCCGAAAGCCUUCUUCCCUCACGCGGCGUUGCUGGGUCAGGCUUGCGCCCAUUGCCCAAUAUUCCCCACUGCUGCCUCCCGUAGGAGUCUGGACCGUGUCUCAGUUCCAGUGUGGCCGAUCAGCCUCUCAGCUCGGCUACCCAUCGCAGGCUUGGUGGGCCGUUACCUCACCAACUACCUAAUGGGACGCGAACCCCUCUUAAAGCGGAUUGCUCCUUUGACCUCAUCCCGAUGCCGGGUCGUGGUCUUAUGCGGUAUUAGCAGUCGUUUCCAACUGUUGUCCCCCUCUGAAAGGCAGGUUCUUCACGCGUUACUCACCCGUCCGCCACUCAGUCAUCCCUCUCCCUUGACGAAUCUCAAGAUUAGGAGCUUCGUUCGACUUGCAUGUGUUAAGCACGCCGCCAGCGUUCGUCCUGAGCCAGAAUCGAACCCUGA